GAUGAACGCUGGCGGCGUGCCUAAUACAUGCAAGUCGAGCGAACAGACGAGGAGCUUGCUCCUCUGACGUUAGCGGCGGACGGGUGAGUAACACGUGGAUAACCUACCUAUAAGACUGGGAUAACUUCGGGAAACCGGAGCUAAUACCGGAUAAUAUAUUGAACCGCAUGGUUCAAUAGUGAAAGACGGUUUUGCUGUCACCUAUAGAUGGAUCCGCGCCGCAUUAGCUAGUUGGUAAGGUAACGGCUUACCAAGGCAACGAUGCGUAGCCGACCUGAGAGGGUGGUCGGCCACACUGGAACUGAGGCGCGGUCCAGACUCCUACAGGAGGCUGCCGUAGGGAAUUUUCCGCAAUGGGCGAAAGCCUCACGGAGCAAAGCCGCGUGAGUGAUGGAGGUCUUCCGAUCGUAAAACUCUGUUAUUAGCAAAAAAAAAAUGUGUAAGUAACUAUGCACGUCUUGACGGUACCUACUCAGAAAGCCCCGGCUAACUACGUG
rnacentral:rRNA from 1 species